UACGGAGGAUUCGAGCGUUAUCCGGAUUUAUUGGGUUUAAAGGGUGCGUAGGCUGUCGGAUAAGUUAGAGGUCAAAUGUCGGGGCUCAACCCCGGCCUGCCGUCGGAACUGGGUGCCUUGAGUGGGCGAGAAGUAUGCGGAAUGCGUGGUGUAGCGGUGAAAUGCAUAGAUAUCGCGCAGAACUCCGAUUGCGAAGGCAGCAUGCCGGCUCCACACUGACGCUGAGGCACGAAAGCGUGGGUAUCGAACAGG
rnacentral:rRNA from 1 species